UGAGGUGGAGCAAAACUCAAAAAAUAGAUCUCAGUUCGGACUGUAGGCUGCAACUCGCCUACACGAAGUUGGAAUUGCUAGUAAUCGUGGAUCAGCAUGCCACGGUGAAUACGUUCCCGGGUCUUGUACACACCGCCCGUCACACCAUGGGAGCUGGUAACACCCGAAGUCAGUAGUCUAACCGCAAGGAGGACGCUGCCGAAGGUGGGAUUAGCGACUGGGGUGAAGUCGUAACAAGGUACC
rnacentral:rRNA from 1 species